rnacentral:rRNA from 1 species
UGGGGAAUCUUCCGCAAUGGACGAAAGUCUGACGGAGCAACGCCGCGUGAGUGAUGACGGCCUUCGGGUUGUAAAGCUCUGUUAAUCGGGACGAAAGGCCUUCUUGCGAAUAGUGAGAAGGAUUGACGGUACCGGAAUAGAAAGCCACGGCUAACUACGUGCCAGCAGCCGCGGUAAUACGUAGGUGGCAAGCGUUGUCCGGAAUUAUUGGGCGUAAAGCGCGCGCAGGCGGAUAGGUCAGUCUGUCUUAAAAGUUCGGGGCUUAACCCCGUGAUGGGAUGGAAACUGCCAAUCUAGAGUAUCGGAGAGGAAAGUGGAAUUCCUAGUGUGGCGGUGAAAUGCGUAGAUAUUAGGAAGAACACCAGUGGCGAAGGCGACUUUCUGGACGAAAACUGACGCUGAGGCGCGAAAGCCAGGGGAGCGAACGGG